UAAUAACAACUAUAAUCUAAGAAAAAUAUACAUUUAUUACAGCUUUUCGAUAUUAAAAACUAUUAAUUUAAAUUAAAUUUAACACUAUUUUGAUUUUGAAUUUCAAUUUACCGCCUAUAGAAAAAUCAAUAAUCAUAAUGGCGAUCGACAAUUUGCAUUGAGUCUUGUGUCUCUGGUCCAUAUACCACUUUUGUUGAAGUUUUUACGUUUUUACCAAAGAUUUUUAUACCAAAAUAAUCAAAAUACAGUGAAAAGUGUUAUUUGAAUUCAGAAAUUCAUCAAUUUCAAUAUGAGAUAAAGGAAGAAUUGAAUUAUAUGAGAAAAAAGUUAUGAUCAAUUUUGGAAGUGAAGAAAGCAAAAAGGGAAUAAUAGAAAAGAUCAUCUCUAUAAUUUUAUGAUAUAUUUUGCCCAAAGGAGAAAAAGUUUAUUAUUUCAUCGAUAUUAAAGAGGUUAACGUCACGAGUGCUCUGAAGUUGGUAUCUCGAAACAUGUCUCGAACGCUGCGACUAUCGAUUGUACAUUAUCCAAGAUGGCGGCGGCGCAGGCAGGCGGCGUCUUUUUGUUCCAUUCAAAGUUUUCUUUCCACGUUUUAUAGUCGUGGGAUAUUAUUCAAUGCAGCAAAUUUUAAUUAAUGGUGUUUCAAUAAAUAAAUAACUGGAUUCUAUCCUCGAUGGCUUGUGAUGUCACACGUACGUGAAAGAUAAGGACAAAAGUAUAAAAAAGGAUAUCUUGAAGGACACAAUUCUUCAUAUUCAGACUUUUUAGAACUCGGUCUAUUUUUACGGUUAUUUUUCACAUUUUCUGAAUGAAAAUUUAACUUGAAAGUAGGGAUCUCCGAGGGCUAUUUAGUUUGAAAGAAAUAUCUAUCCUUGAAGCUGAAAAUUCGUUAUUAAGGUUUAUGGACAGUACAGAAGUGCUUUGAGAAGAAUGGGACGCAAUUAUGGGAUAUUCGCACCGAUCGGAAAAAGAAUUAUACAUAUAUAAUAUGAUAUUUUUCUUCAUGGAAUGUGCGAUGUGAUUUUUUUCUUUCGUGUGGAUGAAAAGAAUAUAUUGAAAUGUUAUUCUUUCUUGCUAUGCGGAUAAAAAUGGAUUCUAAUCAUAUAUAUAUGAAGAGAUGAGGAAUAGUGUCGUUCAACUCGGAGAAAGAUAAAGUCUGUCGUCGCAUUCGUUUGCAAUUUGAAUCUCAGCGCGGUAUUCGG